ACCUUAUUUUUGACGGAAACAUGGAGGCAGCGAGUUGCCGUUUGUUUGGGCGAGACUUCCGGCGCGUCACUUCCUGUUACUGGGUAGCUUGCUGAAAAGCGGCUCAUGCAGCUACUUCGUCUCAAAUUACUCGGCAUUAUGACUUCGAGGAAGACCGGGAUCAUUUGUCCGGUUAGAGGCUGUCAUAAUAAUGGGUGUAAAAGAAAGGUUUACGUGGAGCAGAAGUGUUUUAAUCAUCGACCGGGAACAACAGCUGCGGAGACGAGGCGCCCUACUUCCUUCACCCCCAGCCGAAGAAUGAGGAAUCCCUUCGCCUGUGGUUAAAAGCUUUAAAUAUGAAGAAACCACCGAAGCGACCGUAUGUAUGUUCUUUUCAUUUUGUGGACAAAAGACCGACAGAAGACCACACGAUGCCAGAAAAGUGCCUGGGCUACAAAGUUCCGUUAAAAACAAAGUCAAGGAGACGUCAAGAGGAGGGGAGACAGGCUUGUGUUUGACAGAUGACAGCCGCUGUGAUGCAGAGGCUGACCGGACCGCUCCAUAAUCAGAGUCACCUAUGAAUAAAGAUGCUGACACUACAGCCAUCAAUGAUCACACCUAGGAGAAAA